UAGGCCUCGUGGCUAACGGUCGCCAUAUUGCCUUGUAUUACUACUUUACUACCCAAAAGGUUGUCAGUCUAUUGUUAUGAGGCUGUAUACGAUGCGCGUUGAACUAGCGCCAAACUUUUCACCGAAACUUUGAUAUAAAUAGCACUAUUAACGUUCAUUUGUGUUGCAUUUUGACCUAUUAUCCAAGUGAUUUACUUUUCCAUUUUUAUUUAAUCACCCUAUCAUCCAAUUUUUAAGAUGAAAUUACGGUGUUUACAAAACCAACCAAACCGAAAGUGAAACUGGAUGCAUUACGUUUCGCGAUGUAAACAUUAAAUAUUUGUUCAGUUUGAGGAAGCGAAUCGAUAAUAGACGUUGAAAUAUGUAUGCAAUACAGACUAUCAUUGCCGAUUGUAGUACUGGCUAAAAAAAUACCUUUUAUGACAGGUUUACUGGAUUAUGAAAGACUGAUAAACAUAAAAUUGACAACUCAUCUCCCCAACGAUACUUUGUGUGGCUCAUUCUCGGAACAAACCCAUAGUCAGUGAGAAAACUACAGUGUAAAAAGACCACUUGAUUGUGACAAUUAUGGCUGACCAAGCAAAUGUUAUCAUUUAAAAUAAAGAAAACUUCCAGUUCAAUAUACAUUUUAUACCAAUUAUGACAUUGGCCAACACAGAAAAUAAUUAUAAGGUUGAUUUUCUCAAAAUUGACUGUUACAAUUGGAUACUGUUUUAAGCUUCACUCUACUUUGUCUGAAAAUAAAAGUCCUAAAUGAUGUAAUAGAAACAUAUUUAAUUUUUAGUUUUACAAGGAUAUAUAUAUAUAUAUAUAUAUACAUAUAUUAUAAUAUCUUUUUAUCGAUGGUCAAUCAAUUUAAGUUUAACUAAUAUAUACAUACACAUUUUAUACAUGUGUAUGCUUUGAUUUUUUUUCUAUUGAAGCCAAAUUUAUAUCCUAUUAGAUAGAUAGAUAAUAUCACAGCAGUAUUCCUAGUUUGUCUGCAAGUACUGCAGAAAUCAUGGAUUAUUAUUUUACUGAGUCAGCCUUAAUCUUUAUAUUAUAAUUGUUAAAACAGAUUAAGAUGUGCAUUAUACAAUUGAGGAUGCAUCAAGAUUAAAAAAUGGUACAUGUAUAAAUUAAUAAAGAAUCAAUAACAAUCAGAAACUGUGCAUUUUUUUCAGUAUUGUGUGGAAGGAUUUGAAGUAAUUAUGUGUUUUUGAAAAAUGAUUUAUGUGAAUUUGAAUAAAUAUAUAAAAUUUAGUGAUUUUCUCAGACAAAACUGUUAAUUACAUACUAAAGUAUUCAGAAUGUAUUAUUGUAAUUUUCAUUCGAAUUUUUUAGUACAAAAAGCACUUUUCCCUGGCAUUUGUAUUUAUAGUAAUUGCAUAUUUUAUAAUUCUGACAGCAUUUAUAAACUGUGUUCAUGCAAGCAUGAAACCGGUUUCAUUUUUGAGUAUUUAAACAAGAGGGCCAUGAUGGCCCUGUAUCGCUCCACUGCUGAAAAAAGGCUGAAACAAAUUUCUCUGCAUGUGCAAAUACUUAAAUAUAGGCCCUAUUUAAGCACAUGUACACUUUUGUGACCUUCUGGGCUGGGUCAAAUUUAACCCCAGGGGCAUAAUUUGAGCAAAUUUUGUAGAGGACUACUAUAUCUCACUACAUACAAAAUGUGGAAGCCCUAGGUCCUAGAGUUAAGGACAAGAAUAUUUUUAAAGUUUUCACAAAAUAAGCAAGAUAUAAGCGUAUAUAAUGUUCAAUUUUGUGACAUGCAGGUCAGGAUCAAAUUUGACCCAAAGGGCAUAAUUUGAACAAACUUGGUAGAGGACUAUAAGAUGUUACUGCAUACCAAAUUUGGUAGCCAUAGUCCAAAUGGUUUUCGACAAGAAGAUUUUUAAAGAUUUCACAAAAUAGGCGCUUUAAAAGCGUUUAUUCAAUUUUGUGACCCCCCGGGGCAGGGUCAAAGUUGACCCCAGAGGCAUUAUUUGAACAAAUUUGGUAGAGGUUUAUUAGAUGUCACUACAUACCAAAUUUGGUAGCCCUAGGCCCAAUGGUUAUGGACAACAAGAUUUUUAAAGUUUUCACAAAAUAGGCCCCAUAUAAGUGUAUGUUCAGUUUUGUGACCCCGGGCAGGGUCAAAUUUGACCCAAGGGGCAUAAUUUGAACAAACUUGGUAGAGAACUAUAACAUGUCACUACAUACCAAAUUUGGUAGCCCUAUGCCUUAUGGUUAAGGACAAGAAGAGUUUUUAAAUAUUCACAAAAUAGGCACUAUAUAAGCAUAUAAUUGAUUUUGUGGCCCCCGGGGCAGGGUCAAAUUUGACCCCUGGGGCAUAAUUUGAACAAACUAAGUAGAGGACUAUACAAUGUCACUACAUACCAAAUUGUGUAGCCCUAGGCCUAAUGGUUAUGGACAAGAUUUUUUUUUAAGUUAUCACAAAAUAGGCAUUAUAUAAGCAUAUGUUCAAUUUUGUGACCCCCGGGGCAGGGUCAAAUUUGACCCAAGGGAUUAAAUUUGAACAAAUUUGGUAGAGGACUAUUAGAUGUCACUAUAUACCAAAUUUGAUAGCCCUACGCCGGAUUUUUAUGGACAAGAAUUUUUUUGAAGUUUUCACAAAAUAGGCCUUAUAUAAGCAUAUGUUCAAUUUUGUGACCCUCGGGGCAGGGUCAAACUUGACCCCAGGGGCAUAAUUUGAACAAACUUGGUAGAGGACUAUAAGAUGCCACUACAUACCAAAUUUGGUAGCCCUAGGCCCAAUGGUUAUGGACGAGAAGAUUUGUAAAGUUUUCACAAAAUAUACCCUAUAUAAGUAUAUGUUCAAUUUUGUGACCCCCGGGGCAGGGUCAAAUUUGACCCCAGGGGUAUAAUUUGAACAAAUUUGGUAGAGGACUAUUAGAUGUGUCUACAUACCAAAUUUGAUAGCCCUAGGCCCAAUGGUUAUGGACGGGAGAUUU